AUUGAACGCUGGCGGCAUGCCUUACACAUGCAAGUCGAACGGCAGCACGGGUGCUUGCACCUGGUGGCGAGUGGCGAACGGGUGAGUAAUACAUCGGAACAUGUCCUGUAGUGGGGGAUAGCCCGGCGAAAGCCGGAUUAAUACCGCAUACGAUCUACGGAUGAAAGCGGGGGACCUUCGGGCCUCGCGCUAUAGGGUUGGCCGAUGGCUGAUUAGCUAGUUGGUGGGGUAAAGGCCUACCAAGGCGACGAUCAGUAGAUGGUCUGAGAGGACGACCAGCCACACUGGGACUGAGACACGGCCCAGACUCCUACGGGAGGCAGCAGUGGGGAAUUUUGGACAAUGGGCGAAAGCCUGAUCCAGCAAUGCCGCGUGUGUGAAGAAGGCCUUCGGGUUGUAAAGCACUUUUGUCCGGAAAGAAAUCCUUGGCUCUAAUACAGUUGGGGGAUGACGGUACCGGAAGAAUAAGCACCGGCUAACUACGUG
rnacentral:rRNA from 1 species